UGUGUGCGGACCAGACAUGAGGAGCGCAUUGCUGCGCCACAUUGAUCGCAGGUCAUGCCUCUCAUGAAGGACGCCACUCGGCUACCGAACACAUCACCGCUGCCCGCCCUCAUGGCGGCGCUGAAGCUUUUUGAAUGCAAGCCUGAUACUGUGGCAAGCGCAGGCCCUGCGCCGCCACACCGCCUCUACACGUUCGGCGGCUGCACUUAUGAGCUUUCCAGCCUGCCGGAGGGCCGCACAAGUAAGGGCGCAGGUGAGCCGCUCUCGCAGCCACCCGUCAGCUGCUCUACCACGGCGCCGACAACUGGAGCGGCGGCGCCCAGGAGUGGCAGCGGCAGCGGCAUGGAGGGUGGCACCCAUGCGCGUGUACCACGUGUCGAGGCCGGCAUCGCUUCGUCUUGUGCCGAAGACGGCACGCGUCUGCGCUCAAGCACUUCCUACCCGUCCAUCAUCAUUCAGUUUGUGUGUCCGAUCCCGCAUGCCCAGCUAAACCGGUACAACAACCUUGACCACGCACUGAGCACAGCGUUGCAGCAAGUGGCACCUCACUGCACAUACGGCUUGCCUUCUCCCUGCCCUGCAGAAGCGGCAUCCGCAGCGGCAACGUCGCUCUCCUCUAUCGCUCUGUGCAUUCCAGCCGAAGUGACGCCCCAAGAGAGAUGCGCAGCGGCCGCGUUCGCCGCCGAUCUGAGCCUGCACGCUCUUCGACCGGUCCUCGAGGGACUUCUCCAGCACAGCGGCGCUACCAUGCAGAAGGAGUGUUUGCUACUGCUGCCUCGCACCGAGACCACGACGAGCACAGCCGCUUCGCAGCCAGUGGUCGACUCAGCGUCCAUCUUCUCUGCAAAAGCCCUCUUCAUUACGGCAACGCCGACGCCUGCGGCACUGGUAUCACACGGUACAAGCGCGUCGGCCAAGACGGCGCCGGCAUGCUUCUAUUCCGGCACCGUCUCCCUCACCGUCUGCGUUGGCACCGACGACAAAGGCGAGGCGGUACUCAUGCGGCGCUACCUGGACGCCUUCGCCGACGUGAAGAGGGCACCGGUGCUGCUGCUCGUUCGCGAAUCGGCAGAGCCGCCACCAGAGGUGGCCGCUGAGGCCGGCUCGGCGAUGACAACGGAACACCUGUACGCGUGGUGGUGCACCUUUGUUCUUGCCCCGCAUCAGAUGACCUCUGCAGCAUCUGUGGAGCGGUUGCUACGCUGGGCGCGUGAGCUGCGGCCGACGGUUCUCUUUCACGUGCACCAGGAACGGAUGGCGAUGCAUUCCCUGCUGCGCCAACAGCUGAGCACGUAUGCUGCUCACUUUGACUAAGUCGAUGUGGCAACGGGAGGGGGUGGGGGAGAGGCGUCGGCCUCUCCUGUGCCCUUCCGACACACACACACACGCGCGCGCGCACGCGCGCACGAUCCGUCGUUGCGCCUUUUCUGUUCACGCAGCUAUGCAGGGAUGAGGACACAAGUGCAUGAUACUGCCGGGCAGUCAUCCAGAGGCGACUCCACUGCAUUGGGCAGUGCUGUGAUGCCUACACGCCUUCCUUUGCCUUGCUGCUGUGCCGUUCCCUCCCCCAGAAGAAAGCAGCCUUCAGAGUGGCACAGCUACAUGCGCAGCCCCACACACUCCGUGUUGAGCUCAUCCAUGCCUCAUUCUCUCACACAUCUCCUCGACCCUCACUACGCCUCUUCGAGCCUCUCAACCCCACUCGCACACACGCCGCAG
rnacentral:misc_RNA from 1 species